AGAGUUUGAUCAUGGCUCAGAGCGAACGCUGGCGGCGUGCUUAACACAUGCAAGUCGGACGCGCAACUCUGUGUAGCAAUACACGGGGCCGGCGCGUGGCGAACGGGUGCGUAACACGUGGGCAACCUUCCUUCCGGUGGGGGAUACCCCCGCGAAAGCGGGACUAAUACCGCAUAACAUUCCUUUGGUUUCGACUGAGGGAAUCAAAGCCGUAAGGCGCAGGAAGAGGGGCCCGCGGCCGAUUAGCUUGUUGGCGAGGUAACGGCUCACCAAGGCAAUGAUCGGUAGCCGGUCUGAGAGGAUGGCCGGCCACACUGGAACUGAGACACGGUCCAGACUCCUACGGGAGGCAGCAGUGGGGAAUCUUGCGCAAUGGGCGAAAGCCUGACGCAGCGACGCCGCGUGGGGGAUGAAGCUUUUCGGAGCGUAAACCCCUUUCGACCCGGACGAAAACCCGCAAGGGUCUGACGGUACGGGUAGAAGAAGCCCCGGCUAACUACGUGCCAGCAGCCGCGGUAAUUC
rnacentral:rRNA from 1 species